rnacentral:lncRNA from 1 species
AAAAUAUCUAAUUCCUUUCCAACCCAAGUACUGUAUAAAUCUAUGAUAUUUUCCUUAUACCCAGCCUCCUCUGCAUGGUGCCACAUAAUGUUGGUCCAAGCCCCUAAACAGGAUUCUAAAGAUUUCCCACUAGAGAGCUCAGUCUUCUUAUGUCAACAGGAGAGAAUCUUGGCAGGCUUUAUACUCCCUCUUCUCUCAAAGUUGUUCCUGUUUAAAAAGAGGGAACACAGCCAGCAGUAUUUAUACUGACUCAUCCCAACCCCAGGAGACUGGCUCGUACUGGAGUGGUCAAAUAACUAAGGUUGGACAAAUUAGAUUUCCUUGACAAAAAGGUUUUGGGGUUGAGAUUCAGAGAACAGUUAGCUCGUAUAAGCAUUUCGGAUGUUCAGGAUAAUAUUACUCCCUUUUUUAUUUAUUCUUGAAGAUAAGCCACACUUGUCUUCUUGCUGUUUCUUAAAUAUGCCAAGUAUCCUGCACCUCAGAGCCUUUGCUUGCGGAAAUACCUCUGCCACUAAGGCCUUGUUCAAAUAUAUAUGCAAUUUACUCCUUUUUCAGAGAGAUGUUCCCUCACCAUCUUAUGUAAACUAUCACUUCUCACUCCAUAAAAUCUCAUCCUGUUUCCACAUGCUGUCUUUUCUUCCAAGAAAUCAUAGGCAUAUUCUUAAGUAUCUGACUCUCAUCUUUAUAAUUUAAGUUUCAUAAAGGGGGAUAGCGCCAUCCCUUGUGGUCUGCCUCCAUCUAGCCUUCAUCUUAGUAAAUAAAAACCCUACUAAAAUCUCCUUAAUACCCAUCCAGUCUCUACCAAAAUCAUGACUAAUAUUUCUGGCACUUCAGUUCUUUCUAUCAUGGAAUUUCUUUGGAUAUUUCUAGUUGACUAAUAGAAAAAAAUAUAUUAGAAUGUCUCACUGAAUCCAGGAUAUCUGGCAAGUACAUGUAUAGAGAAGAAAAAGCAACACUGAUUAAAAACUACCAGAUUAAGCUCUUUCAGAAUCUAUUGCCACACAUAUUUCUCAAAUUUUGGUUCAUCUAAAUUAAUGACUUCAUGCAAUUCUUAGUGAGUAAAAUUUUGGCUUCAAAUCUGAAAGAAAUGUCUUGCCUUUGAAACUGCUCACCUCACUAUAGUGGUUUCCCACAAAAUGAAAAGGGUUUGAAUCUGUGAGCAAAACAAGGUGGGGAAAACAACGAUCCAUCUACCAGCUAAAGCAAUGCACAGAUUUAUUACCUUUGACAGCUUGUACAGUAGCUGAACCAUUCAUUGUUAGACUGUCCACAUUGCUAGGUAAUGAGAGAUAGAUCUUUUUCUCUCUUUUCACUUUGAAGGACAGUACUAUAUGCAGGAGGUUGUGAGAACUGUACUUUAAAUGACUCAUAAAUCAUGAGUGUUUUGACUGGCCUAAUACACAUUCAGUACAAUGAUAAUUUCUAUCUCUUUCUGCUUCUUUUUCUUUCUCUGAAAUUGGAGACAUAAAGUUAAGUAACUGACCAAAAUCAAAAGUCAUAAAAAUAUCUAGCAAGUUUGCCAGACAUAUAUUGAGAGGGAAAGGAUACUCAGAACCUCAAGAAUCUUCUAUCAUAUAGUUGGGAAAGGGGGAAUGCAGUUGGAUGUAUAAUUACUAUAAUUACUCAAUACACAGUCUCUUAUCUAUUUGUAGAGUUUUAUAAUAAAAAGUGCUUAAUUUUUUGGACUAUCUAGGUGGGUAAAGUACAAGUGGUAUUAAAAAAUUAAAAUAAACCACCAAAAUUACUUUAGAAGUUAUUCUACUAUAUGUGUUAUCAAUUUGAUUGUUGACUGUAUACUAAGACCUCUGUCCCAAGUAAAUGUCAUUUAGAAUUUGCUCAAACACUCAGCUGAUAAAAACUAAACAAUGAGGAAAAUAAUAGAAAAGCUGGUAUUGACUUCAACAUUUCUUGUGGCUAAUAGGCCUUUUCUCACCAGUGAAACAACUAUAAAAUUUAGAUUAUAGCACACAAAAUUCCUAAAAAUAUAGAUAAUUGUCAAAUGUUUUGAAAAAUUGUGGAAAUAGUACAAUAGAAGUGUGACAUCCACAAGCAAUUGUGUCAGAUGUAAUCUGAGUUUAAGUCCCAGCUUAGCCAAUGACUUUCUUUGUGAAUUUAGACUAAUCAUUUAACUUCCUGAAUGCAUAGUUUUAUCAACUGUGAAAGGCAGAGGGUCACCAUGUGUACCUAUUUCCUGGGAUUUCUAUGAAGAUUAAAUGAGAAUGUGCACAUAAAAUACACAUCAUACUGCCUAAGCAGUCCAAGUACAAGAACCAGUUUUUUUUUCUAUUAUUACUAUUUUUGUUAUUAUUUUGGUAACAUGCAGGGCACUGAAGAUUUCUAUAUGAUAGUUUGAGGGAAUCAUUGAUUUUUCUAGAUGAUAGAUUGAAGGAGAGUAGCUAGUGAGGGAAAUGAAGACAAUUAUUCUAUGGAACUUUUUAUCAAAAAUGACUUCAGAAGAUAGUAGAAAGGAUUAUCACUGAAUGUUAUGAGUUUUGAAGAGCUUUUGUUAUUAUUUUGUUGUUGUUUGCUUUUUGAUUUUUCAUUUCUUAAAAGACAGAUGAGUUUAAAUGAAGGAGAGGUUAGAGAGACUGUGGAAAAUCAAUAAGUCAAUGGGAAACAGAACAACUUCAUUGUGUGUACUGCAGAAGGCAAUUUUACACAAGUUAAAUGGUUAACCUUAGAAAUGAGCAAAGGCAGCUUUGUUAUAAUAAGAAAGAGGAAAGAAAGUAUGGGUGCUGAUGUGGUAAGUUCCUAAGUUUAAAAACAAAUAUGACUUCAUUUUCUCUGUGAAGUAGUAGUAGUUGUUUGCAUAGACUCUCAAAAUAGUAAUUACUAGACUGAAAUGAAUACAUAUUUCUAAUUAACUGUAGACAUACUAGUAAAAUGAUUUUUAGAAAAGUACUAAUCCAUAUCCUUUAGUGGUGUAUCAAUGAGUCUGUCUACUCCCCUACACCACAACCAGAUAGCAUUCAGUAAUUAUCAACUGAUUCCAUAAGAAUUAUUUUUGUGCCAAAUAAUGUUUUAGGCAGUGGUGAAGGAUAUGGAUGCAUGUUCUGCUCUUGAGGGGUGUAACUACAGUGGUCGUAUUGGUGGUGCAUAUAAGUCUAUUCAAGCUGAAGUUAAAAUGCCUAGAAUGGAAUAUAUGAUCAGAAUGAGGUAGAUUGACCAAUGAAGAUUAUUUUUCUGCAAUACAGAAGUAAUUUAAUUAAUGUAAGCAUCUUCUUGCACUACUGGCACCACACAUCCUUCCUCAGAAGGAAUUAGAGACAUAAAGCUAAGUAACUGAGCCAAAUGGAGAAUUAAAUUUAAAAAGAAAUAAGUAAAAAAAAUACUAUGGAUACAACUGAAAAGUCUAAUUGAAAGGAAGGAAAUUACAACACAUAAAAAGGUAACUGAGGAAAGAAUCAAUUUCAAAUUAUAGACAGGAUUUUUAAACUUAAAGCACUUUACCAUAAAAUGUCCUUGAUGAACAAGCAUUUGUAUACAUCCUUCUUACAAAUGCAAUUUUCUUCAUUAUUAUCACUUAUUUUAUUUUAUUUAUUUGAAAUCCAAAGUUUUAAAAUGCCUGUCAUAACAAAAGCUUGUCUUGCUAUUCCCAUGUUUUUCCCCCUGAACCAAAAAGAAAAUAAAAGGUGGAUCUGGGAAAAGAAGAAAAUACUUUUUUUCUUGAGUCCAGAUUCUUAUGAAAUAAUAACACGUAGUGUAUUUUUUUAGCAGGAUUCGUUUUGUAAGAAUGCUGUUUCAUGGCUCUUAAAAAGAAAGAAAUACAAGUAGCAAAUAAAAGGCUUUGGAGUAUAGAAUAUCAAUUUUUUCCUUCUAUUUCUUUUUGCAAAUUUUGGCAUUUCCAACAUGUAAUAUCUCUGUUUGCUGAAACCUCACAAGCCAGAAACCAAAUCAUUCUAAAUUUAUUAAACAAAAAUAAUAAUGGAAGUAAUAAUAAUGGAAUCAAUCAAUAAAUACAUCAUUUAGAAAUCUAUUCUCUAAGUAGUUUGUUUCUUAGGGAAUAUUCAAGAUAUUUAAAUUCAUAUGUACUAAUAUUGAAAAACUCAUGCAAUUUAGCUUAUACUAAUUUUAAAAUAUAUAUUUAAUUUAAUCUAAUGAAGAUAGCAUACAUAAGUUUGUAGAUUACUUUUGACUAAUAUUGCAAAUAAUUAGUAUGCAAUUUAUUGCUAGUUGAUAUGUAAGUUGAUAUGAUUAUACAUAGAAAGAAUUUUACAAAUCUGAUUUGUUCCUUCAACAUUUUUGGGCUCUUUAAAAAUUCCGCCUGGAGCAGUGUGAUGAUAUAUAAUUUUUCCUGAGUUUUUGAGUAAAAUCUUCAGGCAGUCAUUCUGAAGAGAAAAAUGUUUUUAUGAUUUUUGGCAUACUGUCAUUAUUAUCUCUAUUCAUGUAAGUUGUAAAUAAGCAUGUAUUUCCUCAAAUAUGUAUUUUCUAAAAGAUAUGUUAUGAAUGGAUGUGGCACUGACAAGAAAUUAUUACCUUGGUAAGAAGCAGCAGGCUACAUGGAUAAAGGCAUGAAUUGUCUGCACAGUAAUUCUUAACUGGCUACUCUUAACUGUUAGGGCAGUUUGGCACGGAGAUUUCUUUCCUCCAGUUGCCAUGCAGCUCGUCUACAACAGGCAGUGUGAGGACUCAGACAUUUAAGCCUCUAAUCUUUGCCUCCACUUUCACUGGGAAGUAAUCAUAGUGAGUACAGAGCAAAAUCUAAGGAAGAAAACCCUCAGAAGUUAACACUGCAGCAUCUGCCUCCAAAGAUCUCUCAUCUCUGAAGGACAAUCUCUACAACACAGAAGAACCAGACUCCAGCAGUAGGUAGACAAAUGGUAGGUAAGACAGAAAAUAUUUUAGGAAAGUGAGUAGAAAAGGUACUCAAUGAAAGAAAAUAAAAGAAUGACCCAGAAUUGUAAACAAAGGACAUGAAAGUGGGAAGUAUUUAACAAGAUAAACAAAGAACUUGGUGAAGGACAAGAGAAAUGAAAGCCUGAACUAUAAUGAAAAUGUCAAUUAGAAAUAAGAAUAGGUGGCAGUUAUGUGAAAUACAAUGAAAAUCAUGCACUAACAUAAGAAUGGAUGACAAUUAUUCACUGGUGUUUCAUUAUUUUGAUUAUCUCCUUUGUUUUUCAAUUAUUAUCAAUUAGAUACAGAUAAGGAAAAUGAUUUUCAGUGUUACACACUUUUGUUUUUAUCCUACUAAACUGAUUGUUAAUUUAUUUUCUUUAAUUUUGAAAAUAACAAUUGCUAGAACUUGAUGAUAACUUACAGAAUAGGCAUUGUUUAUAUGCUUUAUAUGUAAUAGCUCAAAUUUUAAUGUAUGUAUUCAUCACAGCCAUCCCAUGAAACAGACGCCACUAUUAUUCAUAUCUUACAGAUGAGGAAACUAAGGUCUAAGUUAAUGAAGUUUUCCCAAACUGAUACAACCUUAUGCUUUUUUUUUUUUUUUGCGGCACCCUCGGCAUGAGCAAGUUCCCCGGGCCAGGGCCACGGAUGACACUUGAGACACUGCAGUGACAUCAGAUCUUAACCCACUGAGCUACACAGAGACUCCAGAACUGAUACAACUUGUAACCAGCUGUGCCAGAGUUUUCCCUGGCAAUCUAGUUUGAGAGAUGAUGUUCCUAACACAUUUUUCAUAAUAACCCUAAAAUAACAGGCUUUCUUUAAGGAAACAAUAAUUAGUACACACCUAUAAUUUUCUUGUCACUCUAUCAUUUUUAAAAUAGUUAACCAAUUUUUCACCACACUUAAAAUUACCAACUUUCUCUUCAAACAUAUGUUUUUAUGCUUUGAAUAUCACAUGGCUAAAAUCAGAGGAAAAUAUGUAGUACCUUUUACUAAGAUGAAUGUCCAAAGCCUAAAGAUUAAGCAAUGUUAAAUAGUGAAAUGACUCGUGUUGGAAUAAAUGGAUUUUAAAUGGACAUUUCAGAUUAUUUUCUUAUGAAAGUCCAUUGAUAACAAUAAUUCCCAUUGGUGAUAUACUAGAUCCUUUUAAAACAUUUAUAAAGAAUUCUAAAUUAAAUGUCACCCACAUCAAUAAAUGCUGGAUUUUGUCCUUAAUUUUCAUUAAUUUUGACUAGAUUCUAAAGAGGAAAGAUGCAAAGUUUGUUUUAGGUAACUAUUAUCUAAGAAAAUAUAGUGUCAUAGCAAGAUCUUUCAAAAAAUUCUCAGCCUGUGUGGUGUGUUCAAAAUAUUUUGUUUUUUCAUUAACAAGAGGAAGUUUGAUUUACUACCACUUGGGGUCAUUUAUAAAAAUCCAUCUUUAUUAUUUCAUAACUUUUUAUUUUAAUGUAAUUUUAAACAUACAGAAAAUUUUUCAAAAUAGUACAAGGAAUUCCAUAUGCCCUUUAUCCAGUGUCAAUAAUUAUUUAAAUUUUGCCUCAUUUACACAUGUACAUGCACACACACAUAUGCAUGUAUUGUAUAGGUGUACAUACUGUACAUAUGUAUAAAAUUAUCUUUUUGAGCUUUUUGAGAGAAAGAUGGAAAUAUAUCCCUUUACCUCUAAUUUUUUCAAUGUAUAUUUUCUAAAUAACCGGAUGUUCUGUUACCUAAUUACUCUGUAGUUAUCAAAAUCAAUUUAACAAUAAUAUAGGGGGAAUUACCGUCAUGGCUCAGUGGUUAAUGAAUCUGACUAGGAACCAUGAGGUUGUAGGUUCAAACCCUGGCCUUGCUCAGUGGGUCAAGGAUCCAGCAUUGCGGUGAGCUGUGGUGUAGGUUGCAGACACAGCUCGGAUCCCACGUUGCGGUGGCUGUGGUGUAGGCCGGUGGCUACAGCUCCCAUUAGACUCCUAGCCUGGGAAUCUCCAUAUGCCG